rnacentral:rRNA from 1 species
CCUACGGGAGGCAGCAGUGAGGAAUAUUGGUCAAUGGGCGCGAGCCUGAACCAGCCAAGUAGCGUGAAGGAUGACUGCCCUACGGGUUGUAAACUUCUUUUAUCAGGGACGAAGCAAGUGACGGUACCUGAUGAAUAAGCCACGGCUAACUACGUGCCAGCAGCCGCGGUAAUACGGGGGUUGCAAGCGUUGUCCGGAAUCAUUGGGCGUAAAGAGUUCGUAGGCGGCACGUAAAGUCUGGUGUUAAAGGCAGAGGCUCAACUUCUGUACGGCACUGGAUACUUGCGAGCUAGAAUGCGGUAGGGGUAAAGGGAAGUCCUGGUGUAGCGGUGAAAUGCUUAGAUAUCAGGAGGAACAUCGGUGGCGUAAGCGCUUUACUGGGCCGUAAUUGACGCUGAGGAACGAAAGCCAGGGUAGCAAAUGGGAUUAGAUACCCUUGUAGUC